AGCACGCCGACGUUCCUCCUCCACCCGUGCUUUGACCGCAUCGCCUCUUUGCUGCGCAAUCAAAUCGCGCCGGCCAAGAAAUAGAGAGGUGAUGAUAGCAAUCCGGUGUUCCCGUGGGUUGCCAGUCUCCAUCUAUUUCGCGUCGAUUUGUAAGACCCCACCCAAAUUGACAACUUCUUCUCCGGUCACGGCGCCGGCGCGGGUCGGAUGGUGGGCAGGCAGCAGAGCGGACUCCCUCCAUCCGGGCCUAGGAUUCGUCGAUUCGCCUUUGGACACGGCCCAACUUCCGACGAACGCCUCCCCUUCCGUUCGUUUGGGCGUUGUCGUAACCAUUAUCUGCUGCAAAUUGAAACCGCCGGCGUCGUAAUCAUGGUGGUAUUGCCGUGCAUGUUCAUCUGAGAUUUUUAUUCAGAGGCCGCUCACAGCAACCUUCAUCUGCAACCAUGUGUUCUGGAUAGGUACACUCAUUCAUACAAUUUGAUCUUUAUCAAUCCAUUUUAAUAUUUCUUACAUCUAUUAUUUACUUUCAGUUUCUUCUUUACUAUCUGCGAGAUGUUCAAUGUGUAAUCCAAAUGAAAUACUCACUUGGGAGCUUGUGAGAUAUUCAGAAAUUUUCGUUGGUUAACCAUGUUGUUAUUUAUUCUCGUCAGAUGUUGCUUUCUAGAUUUGUUCUCUUGUCGAUUUGAGCCAGGGCGGGAGCACACAGCUUUUGCUUAAUUUGUUGAAGGAUUACUUACCUCCACCUUUGUUUGCGUGGUUGCAACCUUUAUACUUUAUUAAUCAAUGGGUAAUCCAUUCUUCAUAGACCCAACUGAGUGACUUAUGUAACCCUGCACUCUUGCAGUGCUUUGGUUUCUCAAGAAAGCUUGCAGAGUUUCUUAAAUUAUGUCAACUUGUUGUCGUGUUGUCAGCCUGUAUAAGAAGAGCCAUACAUGUUCUAUACUACCAAAAAAAUCAUCAUAUUUUUUCUCUUGCAACUUGAUGUGAUAAGUUUUUUGUAUUGAGAAACUAGGCUCUUGUCUUUGAAGUAGCAUGCGAUAGAACGUUCGAGUGCUGAGAAUGUGUAGGACAUGCACACUCCAUCCACAACAUGGAGCUCCUUGCGGCCAUGCUCCAGGUAUGAUUAUCACCCAUCUAAUGUGUUGUGCAUACUCAUAAAUAGCAGGAUUCACUUUAUCCUUGGAUGUAAACUUUCUAAUCUCGAGAAAGAUAUACCUAGCUUUCAUGCUUUGAAGUGUAUGGUCAUCUUAUAUAUAUGCUGCAUUUCCUGUAUUUAGUAAUACAAUCUGGGUAAAAGAUAGCUUGAAUGAUCUUAUGAGUACAUGUGUAAUUAAUUCCCUAUAUGUUAUUUUGGGAAAGAGUCAAAUCCAUAUAUACUAUAUUAUUGCUAUCGCAGUGUUAAAUUGUUGGUUGCUUGUAACUGAUAGUAAUUCUCAGUUCUGUGCUGAUCGAAAUAUCAGUUAUAAAGUUUUCUUAUUCUUUCAACAAGGUUACUAAUGGUCACCAAAGUUACAGCCAUUGUGGAGAUGUCAUCUAUUUUGUCUGGUCUAUAUAAAAUGUGAAUUGCGUUAUGUCAGUCUGCAAGUAUUCUACUGAUAUGUAUAUAUUCUGGCCCCACAUGCCAAUGAGUCAUUUUCACCGGUUCUAAUCUGGGUGAUUGAGUCCCAGCUAAUAAGGAGAAUGAUCCAUUGAUUGUUGCCAGAUAAGCUAUCGCAUAUUUACAUAUCCUUCUUAAUUUAACUAUAAAAUCUAUUAUUAUUUUACUCACAGUUUGUACUUUGAACAUAAUUCUGUACUGCCAGAUCCUUUUUCAAGACAUGCUCAAAAGGAAUAUUGCAUUUUGUUCAGUGGAACGUAUUCCCCAAAGUACAUGAUGCUGACCUUGGAAGAAUCAUCUUUGGUGAACUUCGAAGCAGAUCAUCUUCAAGCCAUAUCCAUCACGGGUUCUUAUCCUUCAGACUGAAAACUGGGGCAACAACUUCUUCGCGGAGGAAGAGCACGGAAUCAUCAAGCAUCCGGUCCGAGAGUAAAAACUAACUGGACACCAGUCAAUGACCAACAUGUGAUACACUUACCUUGUCCUGGAUGAAGAGCAAAGGAUGGCCAACCAUAAGCCUCGAGUUGCAAUAUAAGCAACAAUUGACAUUUGUAUUAUGUCAUCUCAACUUAUACUAUGGCAGUAGUAUAAGGAGAUACUGUAAAGUUUUAGCAACAUAACUGUUGGUCAAGUAAGUUGUUUAAUUAUAUAUCUACUUGGAAAAUAAUUCUAGGUAUGUGGACAGCUUGCAUCUUUUUUCGUGUUA